GCCCAGAGCUCCAAUUGCUCUUCUCCAUUCCUAUGGUCCUAUGAAGAAUACUGUUGGGUUGGAAUCUGGAGCCUAGGAUCACUUGAAAACGUCAUGGAAGCAUGUUUUGUAGGAACAGGGGGAAGAAAGUGGAAAAAACUGAGUUGGGCGUGGCUGACCUCCGGUGAACCAUGGCGCAACUUCCAGAUCACCCGGGGUCCGCACGGCGAUGAGAAGGGUGAUUCUGCGGCCACAAGAGUAACUGGAUCCAAGAGAAGCUAGCCGAGAGCCCCAAUAGCUCUUCUCCUCUCUGGUGAUCCUAUGAAGAAUACUGUUGGAUUAGAAUCUGGAGUCUAGGAUCCCUGGAAAACGUCAUGAAAGACCACCCUCCUGUCUGCUCCUCAUCUCGUAUCACAGGGUACCGCAGGAGGGAAUUGCGAAAUGAAGAAAAGUUCAAGGACUGUCUUGGCAGCUAGCCCAGAGCCCCAGUUGCUCUUCUCCAUUCCCAUGG